rnacentral:tRNA from 1 species
CGGGGUGUGGCGCAGCCUGGCUAGCGCACCUGCCUUGGGCGCAGGGGGUCGCAGGUUCGAAUCCUGUCACCCCGACGA